GGCACCAGUCUUAAAUGAUCCAAGUGAAAGCAUUUCAAUACCCUGAAUGCAAAAGGCAAGGCCCAAAACGUUGUUAGCUAGCCAAUGCUUUUGUUUAGCAUACCAUACACAGAAAAUGGUUCCAGGAAUUGCAGAAACAAUCUGAGACCUUGUGAACUCAAACUCCAAAGAGCGGAAAUAUGGGAAGUGCCAUAUAAUGAGAUCAUCAUUCCACUUCUUUGGCAAAAACCGCUUAAUAGAAGGUAACAAUGUUGCCGAAAGUGCAGCAACACCAAGUACGAAGAAGUAGCACGUCAAAACAGCAUUAACCAGGUCUUUUGACAGGAAUUUAAAAAGCAAGAACAAUGACAAGAGCAUUGCACUUCCAACCAAGGGAAACCUCAUUGCAUGUUCAUUAGACAUUGUUUCCGAAGGUGGAGUAGGCUUAACAGAACGGCAGCAACCCACAAAGACAGUAAGGCAGGCUGUUACAAUGACAUUUACAUUUGGAUCCACAUUCACCACCAGUGGUGCCAGACUCAAACCUAACAAAGCAACAUUCGCGAUACGCUCCAUAUUCUUCAUCCUCAAAGGUAUUAAAAUGCAGAGUUUCACUCCAGGUCAGACUCCCCCAACAAGAGGAACCUUACAAGAAUACAAAAGAAUUUGAUGUGCGUUUCUCUGCUGAUCUUCAAAGCACACGGAUCGGCGAGAUUUUUGGAUUUGGGAAUUUUGCUAUGUAAACAUUUUUUUCGUUUUU
rnacentral:misc_RNA from 1 species